UGUUCACUAAAUAUCUCUUAUUCUCCUCGUCUUAGAAAUAAUGAAUUCCCAUAAAAAAUAAUAUUUUAGAGGCAAUAUGAUGUAGCUAAUGAAACAAUCGCCAUCAGCAUGUAGAUUAUAAAAUAGAUAAAUUUAUUACUAGUUCAGUAUCGAGAAAAAUAAAACAGAACUUAUCUUCUGUCAGAGGCCACACUACAUGUGUACUCAUAAGCUUCGGAUAUAACCAAAAAAAUCUGUCGCGCAAAUUUCCAUUCAGCUCCCACAAUGAACUUUUAAAAACUN
rnacentral:lncRNA from 1 species